rnacentral:rRNA from 1 species
AUGCUCCUGCUAAAGAUCGACAUCGCCAAGGCCUUCGACACGGUUUCAUGGGAAUACAUCCUCGAGCUGCUGCAGCGCAUGAACUUCCCGGCGCAUUGGAGAGACCGGAUCGCGCUGCUCCUCUCCUCCGUGUCCUCCGCCUAUCUGCUCAAAGGAGACCCGGGCCCUGCGAUUCUCCAUCAGCGGGGACUUCGGCAAGGGGAUCCCCUCUCA